UUGGAGGGCAAUAAUUUUCCAUUAGAUAGACAAGAUACAGUAAAUUUAGCAAAGGAGCUCAUGCAUAAAAAUGCUUGUUCAAAUCAUUUUUUUUAAAAAAGAACCUCCUAGAAUAUCACAAAAUUUCCACCAAUUACCCAAUAGUGAUUGAUCAUUCUCCAAAAUAUUAAGAAACAAUACCCGUGUCAAAGACAAGAGGGAAGGUCUGGGUUUCCAAAACGUUACAAGUGAGAAAUUUCUUAUGCAUGAACCUUGUGAAACCCUUGCUGCCUCAAAUUGACUCGAUGAAAUGCAAGUCGUAAGGGCCAUGGAGAACUGACCUCACAAACUUCUCUUGCUGAAAAUUCAUCACUUCAGCUCACAUGAGAAACAAGUGAAGAGAUAUCAACUACUGAACUAUUGACAAAACAAGGAAUUCAUGAAAAAUCUUCUUUUGAUUGAGUUGGUCGAGAUAAAGCCCAGGAGGGUAAUCAUUAAAACCGACUGAUUAUGUUGUCUCUAUAACUGAAUCAUAACUUGUAAAUGUAAAUAAGCCACUUUUUCAGUCAGCAGUUAAACAUGUAAGGGAAAUUGUACUUAUCAGAUGCAAGUCAAGUAAGAAAUUAUGGCAAAAAGGGGAUACCAUAACAAAACUCUAAAAAUAGACGGCAUCUUAAACAUAAC
rnacentral:lncRNA from 1 species